rnacentral:lncRNA from 1 species
AAAAUCUCAGACUUGGACCUCUCUCAUUUAAGCCCACAAAGCCAUGAAAAUCAGGUUAUAAAAGAGGGAGAACAGACAGAAAAAGGAAGAGAAGCAAAACACUCUGAGGUUUCCUUGGAACAAAAUCCUGGACAAAACCUGGAGAGAAACCUAGACAGAGAGAGUGAGAAUUAAUCUGCAGCAACCUCCAGGCAACUCUGAAAGGUUCAUUCUGACUCACACACUUUC